CCUACGGGUGGCAGCAGUGGGGAAUAUUGGGCAAUGGAGGCAACUCUGACCCAGCAAUGCCGCGUGAGUGAUGAAGGUAAUUUUAUUGUAAAGCUCUUUUCUUUGGAACGAAUAAAUGACGGUACCAAAGGACUAAGCCCCGGCUAACUACGUGCCAGCAGCCGCGGUAAUACGGAGGAUGCGAGCGUUAUCCGGAUUUAUUGGGUUUAAAGGGUGCGCAGGCGGAUUUUUAAGUCAGCGGUCAAAUCGUGGGGCUCAACCCCAUCCAGCCGUUGAAACUGGGGAUCUAGAGUGUGCGAGAGGUAUGAGGAAUGCGUGGUGUAGCGGUGAAAUGCAUAGAUAUCAUACAGAACACCGAUUGCGAAGGCAGCUUACCAAUCUAUAUCUGACGUUGGGGCACGAAAGCGUGGGGAGCAAACAGGAUUAGAUACCCGAGUAGUC
rnacentral:rRNA from 1 species